rnacentral:rRNA from 1 species
UACAGAGGGUGCAAGCGUUGUUCGGAAUCAUUGGGCGUAAAGCGCGUGUAGGCGGCCAUCUAAGUUUGGUGUGAAAGCCCAGGGCUUAACCCUGGAAGUGCACUGAAUACUGGAAGGCUAGAGGAUAAGAGGGGAGAUUGGAAUUCAUGGUGUAGGGGUGAAAUCCGUAGAUAUCAUGAGGAACAUCAGUGGCGAAGGCGAAUCUCUGGCUUAUUUCUGACGCUGAGACGCGAAAGCGUGGGGAGCAAACAGG